rnacentral:rRNA from 1 species
UACGUAGGGGCCGAGCGUUGUCCGGAGUUAUUGGGCGUAAAGCGCGCGCAGGCGGCUUGGCGCGCCCGACGUGAAAGCCCCCGGCUUAACCGGGGAGAGUCGUCGGGGACGGCCGGGCCUGAGGGCGGGAGAGGGUGGUGGAAUUCCCGGUGUAGUGGUGAAAUGCGUAGAGAUCGGGAGGAACACCUGUGGCGAAGGCGGCCACCUGGGCCGACCCUGACGCUGAGGCGCGAAGGCGUGGGGAGCGAACGGG